UUGCACAGUGAAUACCCAAAGGUUUUAUUUGCUCCACAUCCUUGUCAGUGUUUUGUUUUAUAGUUUCCUUGGUUUUGACGCUAUGCUAGAGCAAUGUCUGUUCUUUUCCUCUGCAUUGCAAGGUAUAUGCUGUUCUUUCAAAUGUAUUCAGAAAGUCAGCAUAUCA
ensembl:snoRNA